UUCACAUUAGGCACAGCCUACAGAGCAGUUGGGCGAUAACACUGGUUCUGAUAGAAUGGAAUCUCCAAUCUGUUGGAUCUCAAAAUACUGAGUUUGUUUUUGAGGUUGUUGGUUUUGUUUCCUGGUGUUCAGGGGGGUUUCUACUUCAAAUGGCCUAGCUGAAUUACAGCCCUGUUAAGAAGUGACAUCACAGUAGGAUACAUAAUUCCAGGCUUCUGUGUCCCUGCAACCCAUGGCAACAGAGUCCUUCAUCCAUCCUCCAGCUAUUGGGUCUGUGCUGCCAGUCUUCUGCUCCACUCCUUCAGCUUACUCCGUCCCCAAUCCCGUUUAUUGGACAGAGAAGUGAUCAUAAAGACAUCUCCCCAGUGAAGAUCUACCUCUCCGUUUUUGUUGUGCUUGUAGGAACAGUACCCACAGCACGUAAAACAGGAAUGAUUUAUAUACUAACCUUAGGCUGCUCAUCAUCUUGGUCACUUUAUCCCCUCUGACUUUUGUGAAGAGCUACAAGAACUAUGUAAGUGCAGUGGAGGAGGGAAAUGGACCAUGGGAGAUGAAGGGGACUAAUUGGGAAAACAGGAUGGAGAAGAGAAAGGGAAAAAUGAGAGAUAGUGUGUAGAGAUGAAUAGAGUCUAUCCUGAGGAAUUUCCUGUCAAGAAAAUAAGAUUAAAGAGAUUAUAUGUUA